rnacentral:rRNA from 1 species
GACGGAGGACGCAAGCGUUAUCCGGAAUUAUUGGGCGUAAAGCGUCCGCAGGUGGCUGUUCAAGUCUGCUGUCAAAGCGCAGAGCUUAACUCUGUACAGGCGGUGGAAACUGAAGAGCUAGAGUAUGGUAGGGGUAGAGGGAAUUCCCGGUGUAGCGGUGAAAUGCGUAGAUAUCGGGAAGAACACCAGUGGCGAAAGCGCUCUACUGGGCCAUAACUGACACUGAGGGACGAAAGCUAGGGGAGCGAAUGGG